rnacentral:rRNA from 1 species
AACGUAGGUGGCAAGCGUUAUCCGGAAUUACUGGGCGUAAAGGGUGUGCAGGCGGGGGAAGCAAUGGUGUAUGAAAUCUCCCAGCUUAACUGGGAUAGGUUUAUGCCAUACUGCUUUUUCUAGAGGACGAGAGAGGGGGGGGUGGAAUUCCGGGUGUAGUGGUGAAAAUGCGUAGAGAUCCGGAGGAACCCCCCAGAGGCGAAGGCGGCCCCCCUGGCUCGUAACUGACGCUGAAGCACGAAGGCCAGGGGGAGCAAAACGGG